rnacentral:lncRNA from 1 species
GUAAAGUGCUAGAAGUAAUCUAUGGCGAGAAGUGAGACUCGCGGUAGAGACAGAAUUGGCGAAUCGACACUCAGAGCAAUUUAAUUAGUAGAUUGCGAGAGUUGAGCUGGGGUAUUUAAGAACACCCGAGUGUUUCGAAAAUUUCGGAUGUCAUUCUGGUAGAUCAAAUAGUAAAAGUGAAUCACUGUUGACGGAACAGUUAGUUAGUGGCCAAGUACUAGCACGCGGGCAGAAGAUUUAGAAUUUUCUGUUGGAAACGGGACAGAUAAAUUGACAGAAAAUGCACAGUCUCAAAAAAUUAUGAAAACUGGAGGAUAAAUCAGAAUUAUUUUUAUGAGGCUAGAUUUAAAGUCUCAUGUCAUUUUGUUACCCGGAAGGUGGAAAAUAAAAUCCAACAACUAUCUGAUAAAGAUUACAGUUCGGUACAGUUUUCGGUAACCAAACGGGGUCGAAACUAAAAUAUUAAAAUUUCUUUGGACUCGUUAAGUAAAACUAAACAUGACUAUCAAAUUUGAGCUCAAACGGAUAUUCAGAGAGCUCCGGCGAAAGAUAUCAGAUUUCGAGCUGCCUGGAGUGAAUAGUAUUUUGGGGU